AUACGUAGGUGGCAAGCGUUGUCCGGAUUUACUGGGUGUAAAGGGCGUGUAGGCGGAGAUGCAAGUCAGGAGUGAAAUCUAGGGGCUCAACCCCUAAACUGCUUUUGAAACUGUAUCCCUUGAGUAUCGGAGAGGCAGGCGGAAUUCCUAGUGUAGCGGUGAAAUGCGUAGAUAUUAGGAGGAACACCAGUGGCGAAGGCGGCCUGCUGGACGACAACUGACGCUGAGGCGCGAAAGCGUGGGGAGCAAACGGGAUUAGAUACCCUGGUAGUCCACGCUGUAAACGAUGAAUACUAGGUGUGGGGGGACUGACCCCCUCCGUGCCGCAGUUAACACAAUAAGUAUUCCACCUGGGGAGUACGAUCGCAAGAUUGAAACUCAAAUGAAUUGGCGGGG
rnacentral:rRNA from 1 species